rnacentral:rRNA from 1 species
CUGGCUCAGGAUGAACGCUGGCGGCGUGCUUAACACAUGCAAGUCGAGCGGAGUAUUCAGGAAGUUUCGGAUGGAAUGAAAUGACUUAGCGGCGGACGGGUGAGUAACGACGUGGGUAACCUGCCUCAUACAGGGGGAUAACAGUUAGAAAUGACUGCUAAUACCGCAUAAGCGCACAGUGCUGCAUAGCACAGUGUGAAAAAACUCUGGUGGUAUGAGAUGGACCCGCGUCUGAUUAGGUAGUUGGUAGGGUAACGGCCUACCAAGCCGACGAUCAGUAGCCGACCUGAGAGGGUGACCGGCCACAUUGGGACUGAGACACGGCCCAAACUCCUACGGGAGGCAGCAGUGGGGAAUAUUGGACAAUGGGGGAAACCCUGAUCCAGCGACGCCGCGUGAGUGAAGAAGUAUUUCGGUAUGUAAAGCUCUAUCAGCAGGGAAGAAAAUGACGGUACCUGACUAAGAAGCCCCGGCUAACUACGUGCCAGCCGCCGC